CGAGGGGAGUGGGAGCCGCGGACUGGCGCCUGUUGGUGAGGCGUACGGUUCGAGGAAAGUCCGAGCUUCGUAGGGCAGGGUGCCGGGUAACGCCCGGGCGGCGAAAGCCGACGGAAAGUGCCACAGAGAACAGACCGCCGACCUUCGGGCCAGCUGGCUCUGAGAUCGGUAAGGGUGAAACGGUGGGGUAAGAGCCCACCGCCUGGCGGGUAACCGGCAGGGCACGGCAAACCCCACCCGAAGCAAGGCCAAGCAGGGGAGAGCGGCGGUCCGCCGCGUUUGAUCCCCGGGUAGGCUGCAUCAGGCGGCGGGUGACCGGCGUCGCAGAUAAAUGGCUCCGCAGACAGAACUCGGCUUACAGCUCCCCUCCGCAC
rnacentral:RNase_P_RNA from 1 species